UUUUCUUACCUUGAGACAAUCAGACUCACUUUUAAUUGUCUUCCAAUUGUUACAUUUUUAAUCAUCUCUUUUUUUUAUUCUCUUAAUCAACAUUUACAUCUUUCUAUUAAUUAAUUGUGAUUCUACUUAAUUACAAUUAUGUCUCACUGAUGAUUAACUGAUUAUAAAUUGUUACCUUUUUGUGAUUAGUUUUUUUGUUCUUUUCUUUUUUUUUUAAAUUCUAUUCUCUUUUUCCUCCAUUUUGUUUAUUUCCCUCGUAAUUUUUUUCUCCCUUAAUUUAUUUAAUUGUUUGAUUUCUUUGUUAUCUUUACAAUUAAUUGUCUGUGAUUAAAUUUAAUUUCUCUUUGGUUAUCUAACCAUCUUUCAUAAGAUUUAAAUCCCCGUUAGCAACUCAUCAAUUUUUUUUCUAAAUCUUCAUCUUGGUCUUUAUUUCCGUUUCCAAUUUUCACCUUUUGUGUCAGUUUUGGAUUCCAUUUUUAAUUGUUAUUCUAAUAAGAGAUUAUAGUGUGUCCCUCAUAAUUUAGAUUAUUAAUAUGGUCUCUCAAUCUUUUGCUUGGUAAUCCUGUUUAUUGUUUAUCCUCAUCUUUUUCUGUUGUUAUUUUUUCUUCAACAUGUUUCCAUUUUCUCAGGUAAAAACAUGCAAAGUUUUUUUUGUUCUCUUGUUGUCCUGGACUUGUAAUAAAUUGCGAAUAGAUGAUUUUGAGUAAUCAUCUUCUUCAGAUGUGGUACUAAGAAUGUGGUUAACUUUGGAUAAUUAAUUGAUGACAGUAAUUACUUCAUCUUCUAAUUUAUAUUAUCUAUGUGAAAAACAACUUGCUGAAGAAAAAAAGGAAACAACAACUAGAAUAACAAUGGAAAUCAAAUCUGAAAGUAAAGAGAUUCAUGGAUAAUAAUAAGAUAUUACAUUUCCAGCCAUUUAAUGGAUUGGAUUAAUUGUUGAACCCUUAUUUUCUUUUGUCUUCUUUCCAUUUCUUAUAUUGAUAGAAAGGGAAAUCUUGUUGAGUGAUACUCGUAAGAAUUUAUCAUCAUUUCCAUCAACAUCAACAGGAUCAUCACAAUCUCAACGGAAUUGGUCAGAAACACCAAACAGUGAAUUGAAAGAAAAGUGAAAUAUUGGUUGGCAUAACAUAACAUCCUCAUCAUCAUCAUCGACAACAACAACAACACGAGAAACAACUACAAUAUCAAUGAUAAUGAUGAUAAUAUCAAUAAGAUCAACUCUCCCACAACUCCAAUCAGUUGAAUUGAAGCUUCAACGGGCAAACAGUCAACAUUAACUUGUCCCAACUGUAAACUUGAAUGUCAAUGUGAAGAGAGAGAGAGAGGAAGAGACAGUAAAAAGAUACAUUCAUUUAUAUGAAUCAAAGUAAUAUGUCAUCUAACAUAUUCAAAAUAUCAAGAACAAUAAUCAUAGAAAGACAGUGAGAGAGUCAUACCCAUAGAAAAGUAUCAUGUCAGAUCCGUAGAUUGAUGGGAAAAUGUUGUAAUAUUACAUAGAUAAAGAGAGAGAGAGAGAGAGAGAAAGUGGGGGAGUAAGAGAGAUAAAAAUGAAAAUGAGAUGAAUGAGAGUAUAAAAAAAUACAGUGAACAAAAAAACGAGAUGUACUUGAGAGUUUAUCCGAUUGCGAUUCAAGUAGUAGACAUGAUGAUGACUCUGAGGAAGACGAGAAAAAAGUACACAUGGACAUUGAUGAGAGAGAAAAACAAAGGAUGAGGAAGCAUAAGAGGCCUGAUGACUACGAUGAGAAAGAUUCUCAAUGGUUAACACACUUACAAUCGACAUUCUAAUUCACAAAAUACGGUUACUGUCAAAAUUUUCUCAUCAUCUCAUCUCCUUCAUCUUCUUUAAGUCAUCAUGAUUAACCUAAACAUCAUCACAAUCAAGACUCAGGAUGCAAACAAUUGAUCAACUCCCAAUAGGAUUGAAAGAAAAGUAAACUUAUCAAGAUUAAUUGUUACUUUCCCAUUAUCAUAAUUAACAAAACUAAUAACAAUUAGGCCAAAAUUAUAACAGUAAAUGUUUCCCCCUUCACGAUUUAAUCUAUUACAUGUUCACUAAUCUUAAUCCAAACAAUUUCAAUUCAGUUAAUUAACUUGAUUAGAAAUAAUAAUUUUUAAAUUUUCUUCCAUGUUUUCAUAUUAUCAAAAUUGACAGGGAACAAAAAUCAAUAUAAUCUAGUUAAUUAUAAUCCGAAUCAGUUAAAAUAACAUAGAAAAUGAGACAUAAUCAAUAUUUAAGGCAGAAAAUUUAAUGAUUAAUUAAAAAGAACAUGAUAAUUAUUUAUACCAUAUUAUCAUCUUUGAAUUAUUAAUUAUCAUCAACUUUUUCCGCUCUCUAACUAACUCAUAAUCAUCACUGUUAAUUAUUAUCAUUAUAAUCAUCAGUUAAUCUGUUACCUUUUUCAUCUUCAUCAAAUGAUAUAAUAUAAAUGUUAAAAUCCUCUAGUACAUUAACGUAAUUUAGAUAUUCAUUUAAAUUAUUAAUCAUUACUGUUCAUUUAAUCAUGUUGUUUUUACGUUAUAUUCAUGAUAAGUUUCCUAUUUCAUAAUAAUAAUCAUCAUCUUUUUAAUCACCUUUCAAAUCCUAAUCAUUAGUUUUCCAUUCAUUUCCUUUACAUAUCAUUUUUCAGUUAUAAUUACAAUUACUGUUCCUUGUUUAAUCCUUUGCUAAAUAAGGUUUAAAUAGAUCACAAAAAAACAAGCAACAUGAUUAAAUAUCAUUAAAUUGAAUCAUGUUAUUGAAUCAAAUUAGGAUUGUAAACAAACAGAAUUGAUGAUGAUGAUGAUGAUGAUGAGAGUCAGAAUCAACAUGAACCAAUAUUAUUUUAUAGAAGUAAAAAUCUUAAAAUAAUUGGACUUAAAAUUUGGGAUAAAGAGAAACACUGAAAGUAAGAUGAUGAAGAUAAGGGAAAUGAUGAUGGAGGUGGAUGAUGAGGAAGAGAAUAAAAAAAGAUGAGUUGUUUUUUUUUAUCUUAUAUGAAGGUAUUGAAAUACAAUAUAAAUCGGCUUUGUUAGUCUUUAAAAUGGUUCAUUUAAGUUGUGCAUUGAAAUAAUAGUUAUCAUGAUUCAGGGAGGAAGAUAAAGAUGAUGAAGGAUGAUGAUGCUACUGGAACUUGUAAAAUUACAACAUGUUCAGACAUGCAUUUCGCAUGCAAAGAGAUCAGUUUUUUUGUUCAUUAUUUCAUCAUCUUCGUCUCUCUCUCUCUCUCUUUCUCUCUCUCCGAUUCUUCAUCAAUUCAACUUACAAGCUUAAGAUCAAGUCUCAAGGGGAAAAGAUCAAGAAUGAUGAGGAAUUUGGUGAGAGAGAUGGAAAACAAGGAUGAAAAAGAAAAAGAAAAAGGUAAAAUCCUUUCAUCAAUUUUUGAUGAAUUAAUAUUUUUUCACUUUGCUGUAUUAUCAUCAUGCUGUAAAUAGAAAAGGUCUUCUCUCUCUCUCUCUCUCUCCCAGGAGAAUGAGUUUAGUGAUAUUAAAAAUACAAGAGGAUGAAAAGAUGAAGAUGAAAUGAGAAACAACUAAAAACAACAAAUAAUAAUACAUAGUAAAAAGAUUAUCAUCAUUAACAUUACAAUGAUGAUGAUAAUAAACAAAAUAAUGUUUGAUGAUGAUUUUUAUGAGAUUGAAGAUGAUGAUGAAGACAGAAUAGAGCCUACGGUGUUUUCUUUCAUCCUCAUCCUCAUCCACUUCCAUCAUCCUAAACCUUAUUAUCACAAUGAUGGUUGAUCAUCAUCAUCAUCAUUGGAAAGUGAUGAUGGUAUAAAAAAUUAAUGUGAAUUAAACUCAUCAUCAUCAAUAUCAUCAACUAAUUGUAACUAUUAUGAUGACAUUUUCAAUGAUCACUAUUGAAGAUUAUGGUGAAGCUUAACACCGGCACAACGGACUAAACUCCCAAUGGUAAAUGCGAGUAUUAAUAAUAAAUGUGAUCAAUUGGAACGGGUACAUUUCAGUUACAAUUUAUACCGUUAUUAAACUCAGGCCAAAGUCAAAUAAUGAUAAUGAUAUAUUUUCAUUAUCAUUUAGUAAUUUUAACUUUUUCCUCUUCCUCCAUCCCUCCGAUGAGUCAAUGUAAUCACAAUAAUAAUAAGAAUGAAUCUAAACAACAACCUGCCUCAAGGAAUCACUUUUUCCUUCAUCAUCUUCUUGUUUCUCUAAAACUUUCAUCAUCAAUUUUAGCUUAUCCUCAUUCCUAUGAGCUGUUUUUCAACAAAUCUUUUUCCAUUUGAUAUUCAUCAUCAUCUUUUUGGCUCUUUUUACAUCUUUCUCUCUCUCUCUCUCUCUCCCU